rnacentral:lncRNA from 1 species
UUCAAGACCAUUUUAAACUCUGAUUUUUUCCCCUCGCUCCCUUCCAGUUUAAUCAAGGAUUCGAUUCCACCUGUCAAGUCCAUGUUCUACACUUUUUGGGCUGUAUUUCAGACUUUUAUUGUAUACAUUGGAAUGGAAUGAAUUCAGAAGAAUCAUCUCAGUCAGACGCAUUGUCCUGUAUAGCACAUACUGCCAUUCUCCAGAGCUGGAGAGAUUAAGACACCCUGAAGUGGAAUUUCUCCAUAAGACAGUGUCUAUGUCCUUGCACAGAUGCUCGAAGGUAACUGACGAUGAGCUAAAUCAAGAACGUAUGGUCAGGGCUCAGGUUAACUCUGUACACUUGCUCAGGUUAGCUAUAAGAAGCAGG